rnacentral:tmRNA from 1 species
GGGAAUGUAAUAACUGCAAACGACGAACGUUUCGCACUAGCCGCUUAAUUGCGGUUGCCCCUGAACUGAUUCUCUCUUGGGUCAGCUAGCGCAAGCUAGGUCAGGGUCAUUUACAAGAGAUAAGAUCAUUUCAUGUCACGGGAAAUGGUUCGAAAACUUAGUGAAUCGCCAGCGUGGAACAUGUCAGUCUGUGACUAGCUAGCUAAAUUAAAUGAUAUGACUAAGUAUGUAGAACUUGUUGUAGAGGAUUUGCGGACGCGGGUUCGAUUCCCGCCGACUCCACCA